UAGCGCUGAUCGAUCCAAUUGGUUUGCAAAACUGUCGUCUGGAUCUAAUGAGCAUGUGCACGCCUUUUGCUGCUUGCUUCAUUAUCAUUUCCACCAGUGCACUCUUUGUAGAUACCCGGGAUGAUAGAUAGGUUGGUAUCGAAUGUUGACCUCUCUAGAUAUUAAAAAGUCUGGGUGUCUAUGUGUUUUUUCACAUACACAAUUUGAAUGUCUAUAGAAUGAAAUUGUAGGCUUUUGUCAGCCAUUUAAAUGAUAAAAUACAACUUUCAACAACGGAUCUCUUGGCUCUCGCAUCGAUGAAGAACGCAGCGAAAUGCGAUAAGUAUUUGUGAUAUUGCAGAAUUCAGUGAAUCAUCGAAUCUUUGAACGCAUCUUGCGCUCCUUGGUAUUCCGAGGAGCAUGCCUGUUUGAGUGUCAUUAAAUAUCUCAAAAACCUUGUGCUUUUUUGGCAUGGGAUUUUUGGACUUUGGGAGUUGCCGGCUGCUGAUAAAGUGGUGGGCUCUUCUGAAAAGCAUUAGUUGGAGGUGCUUUGCACUCUAUUGGUGUGAUAGACUAUCUAUGCCAGGAGAACUUCAUGAACCUUAGCUGUCUAACUGUCUUUAUCAGACAUUAUUAUAAACUUGACCUCAAAUCAGGUAGGACUACCCGCUGAACUUAAGCAUAUCAAUAAGCGGAGGAAUAGAAACUAUCAAGGAUUCCCUUAGUAACUGCGAGUGAAGAGGGAUCGUCGAUCGAUCUGGAC
rnacentral:rRNA from 1 species